rnacentral:rRNA from 1 species
UGAGGAAUCUUGCGCAAUGGGGGCAACCCUGACGCAGCAACGCCGCGUGGGUGAAGAAGGCCUUCGGGUCGUAAAGCUCUGUCAAGUGGGAAGAAUAGCCUUAAGGGGAAUAUCCUUGGGGUAUGACGGUACCACUGGAGGAAGCACCGGCUAACUCCGUGCCAGCAGCCGCGGUAAUACGGAGGGUGCAAGCGUUAUUCGGAAUUAUUGGGCGUAAAGGGCGUGUAGGCGGCCAGAUAAGUCAGAGGUGAAAGCCCGGGGCUCAACCCCGGGAAGUGCCUUUGAAACUGGGAGACUUGAAUACGGGAGAGGGCAGUGGAAUUCCUGGUGUAGGAGUGAAAUCCGUAGAUAUCAGGAGGAACACCGGUGGCGAAGGCGGCUGCCUGGACCGAUAUUGACGCU